rnacentral:rRNA from 1 species
CAGUAGCCGCGGUAACACGUAGGUGGCAAGCGUUGUCCGGAAUUAUUGGGCGUAAAGGGCUCGCAGGCGGUUUCUUAAGUCUGAUGUGAAAGCCCCCGGCUCAACCGGGGAGGGUCAUUGGAAACUGGGAAACUUGAGUGCAGAAGAGGAGAGUGGAAUUCCACGUGUAGCGGUGAAAUGCGUAGAGAUGUGGAGGAACACCAGUGGCGAAGGCGACUCUCUGGUCUGUAACUGACGCUGAUGAGCGAAAGCGUGGGGAGCGAACAGGAUUAGAUACCCGCGUAGUCCCUGUCUCUUAUAC